rnacentral:rRNA from 1 species
UGGGGAAUAUUGCACAAUGGGCGCAAGCCUGAUGCAGCGACGCCGCGUGCGGGAUGGAGGCCUUCGGGUUGUAAACCGCUUUUGUUCAAGGGCAAGGCACGGCUUCGGGCCGUGUUGAGUGGAUUGUUCGAAUAAGCACCGGCUAACUACGUGCCAGCAGCCGCGGUAAUACGUAGGGUGCGAGCGUUAUCCGGAUUUAUUGGGCGUAAAGGGCUCGUAGGCGGUUCGUCGCGUCCGGUGUGAAAGUCCAUCGCCUAACGGUGGAUCUGCGCCGGGUACGGGCGGGCUGGAGUGCGGUAGGGGAGACUGGAAUUCCCGGUGUAACGGUGGAAUGUGUAGAUAUCGGGAAGAACACCAAUGGCGAAGGCAGGUCUCUGGGCCGUUACUGACGCUGAGGAGCGAAAGCGUGGGGAGCGAACAGG